UAGGGAAUCUUCCGCAAUGGGCGAAAGCUUGACGGAGCAACGCCGCGUGAGUGAUGAAGGUCUUCGGAUCGUAAAACUCUGUUAUUAGGGAAGAACAAAUGUGUAAGUAACUAUGCACGUCUUGACGGUACCUAAUCAGAAAGCCACGGCUAACUACGUGCCAGCAGCCGCGGUAAUACGUAGGUGGCAAGCGUUAUCCGGAAUUAUUGGGCGUAAAGCGCGCGUAGGCGGUUUUUUAAGUCUGAUGUGAAAGCCCACGGCUCAACUGUGGAGGGUCAUUGGAAACUGGAAAACUUGAGUGCAGAAGAGGAAAGUGGAAUUCCAUGUGUAGCGGUGAAAUGCGCAGAGAUAUGGAGGAACACCAGUGGCGAAGGCGACUUUCUGGUCUGUAACUGACGCUGAUGUGCGAAAGCGUGGGGAUCAAACAGG
rnacentral:rRNA from 1 species